rnacentral:rRNA from 1 species
UACGUAGGGUGCAAGCGUUGUCCGGAAUUAUUGGGCGUAAAGAGCUCGUAGGCGGUCAGUCGCGUCUGCUGUGAAAACUCGGGGCUUAACUCCGGGCCUGCAUUGGGUACGGGCUGACUAGAGUGCGGUAGGGGAGACUGGAAUUCCUGGUGUAGCGGUGAAAUGCGCAGAUAUCAGGAGGAACACCGGUGGCGAAGGCGGGUCUCUGGGCCGUAACUGACGCUGAGGAGCGAAAGCGUGGGGAGCGAACAGG